CAUGUUCUAGUCCUGCAAG
rnacentral:piRNA from 1 species